GAUGAACGCUGGCGGCGUGCCUAAUACAUGCAAGUCGAGCGAACAGACGAGGAGCUUGCUCCUCUGACGUUAGCGGCGGACGGGUGAGUAACACGUGGAUAACCUACCUAUAAGACUGGGAUCACUUCGGGAAACCGGAGCUAAUACCGGAUAAUAUAUUGAACCGCAUGGUUCAAUAGUGAAAGACGGUUUUGCUGUCACUUAUAGAUGGAUCCGCGCCGCAUUAGCUAGUUGGUAAGGUAACGGCUUACCAAGGCAACGAUGCGUAGCCGACCUGAGAGGGUGGUCGGCCACACUGGAACUGCGACACGGUCCAGACUCCUACGGGAGGCCGCAGUCGGCAAUCUGCCGCAAUGGGCGAAAGCCUGACGGAGCAACGCCGCGUGAGUGAUGAAGGUCUUCGGAUCGUAAAACUCUGUUAUUAGGGAAGAACAAAUGUGUAAGUAACUAUGCACGUCUUGACGGUACCUAAUCAGAAAGCCCCGGCUAACUACGUG
rnacentral:rRNA from 1 species